AACUUCCUGAGGUUGGCACACAGGGCAAAGUUUGAGUCAAAAUCAUACCCUUCCUUUGAGCUUUAGGGAUGCACUUAAAAUUCUGUGAAAAACCAAAAGAAAUAGCAGCAGCUUCCUCCAGAUGUGACAAGUCUGUCACUUUCAGUGUUUAUUCAAAUUUGAAACCCAGCCCAACAAAUAAAGACAGUUGCUUGGGAGGGAAAGGAGGAGAAGGGCAAAAGAGUCCAAAAGUUCUAUUCCACUCACAAAGAGGCGCUGAUGUGGUAAGAUUCCCUGGGAGGGGGUGCAAGUUAGGAAGGAGGAGGGGCAAGGAGGGAGGGAAGAAGGGCAGGAAGGGAGAGAAGAGGGUGGUAGGAAGGAAAGGGAAGGAGGGAAAGAGGGAAAAACCAAUGAGGAGAGUGUGUCAUAACCAAAGAUUAGGAUUAAUCCAAUGCUAUGGUCCCGAGAUCCAAGGAAAAGAAAUUCACCACUGACCUCAUCAUGUUUGUUUGUCUGGAGGCUGUUUCCAUGUCUGAAGCAAACUGUAAUCAUAGACGAUCAUUAAAAGGACACUUUUAAGUAGAGAGUUUUACCCUUUAAAAAAAUCUGAGAAAAAAAAUCCAAUAUUGUAGAAUUUGCUUGGUUGCCCCUCUCUUGUAAAUAAACUGGAAAUAAUUUUCAUCUUAGCUUUUCAAUUUAUAAGAGCUUACAUUUGAGUACUAAUCUCUUUUCAGUCACUAUGUUAAGUAUUUCGCAUAACUUUAUGGGGAAAUAUUUACAACCCACUCCUGUUAUUUCCUUCCAUAUGGGCUACAUUACUUUCCAUGUGAUCUUCAAGGGAUACAUUCCAAAAUCCCCAGUAGAUUCCUGAAACCAUGGAAAGUAUCAAGCCCUAUAUGUAACUGUGUUUUUUCCUAUACAUACAUACCUCUGAGGAAGUUUAAUUUAUCAAUUAGACACAGUAAAAUAGAAAAAUCAUAGCAAUAUACUAUAAUAAAAGUUUUAUGAAUGUGUUCUCUCUCCUUAAAAUCUCUUACUGUCUGUACUCCCCCUUCUUCUUGUGGUGAUGUCCGAUGAUAAAAUGCCUCCGUGAUGAGAUGAAUUGAGGUCAAUGAUGUGAGCACAGUGAUGUAAUCUGGCUACCACUGGCCUUUUGACAAGACGUCAGAAGGAGGUUCAUCUGCUUCCAGAUUGUGGUUGGUCUCAGGUAACUGAAACCGCAGAGACCAAAAUCUUGGAUGAGGAGGAACUACUGUAAUCUUCCUGGUCUAUGCACUUACUACUUUCCAGGAGAGAAGAAGCAACUUUGAGCAUUCUGAAGGCAGAAGCAACAUUAUUCACCGGCAGUAUAUCAGGAAGAGCAUGAUUUGUGUUGGAGGAACAGCCUUAUGAAAGCAGUGUGUGGCACAACACCUCUACCUAUGCGUGGCUCUUCAGUGAACAGGCCAAUCUUUCCCAGAAGUCCCCAGGAAGACUUGCCUUUAUGCCUUGCUGACCAGAAAUGUAGAAGAAUCAAUUUCAUGCUCAGGAAGCAGCAAGGAUUUCAAGGAGUCCCUCCACACGUUCCUGUUAAUGGAAUGGGCUGGACAAACUGGGCUUGAAGUGCACAUGCAUGAUCAGAGUCCUACUAUUACCUCGUGCCAUUCCCUCAGCCUGGGAUCCCCUUGCUUGCUUUCACUGCUUGUUGGAAGUCUUCUCUUCCUUCAAAGUCAGCAGAGCUGCUGCUCCUCUCUGAAGCUGGACUUGACAUGUGUAGACAGGCUCAGCCCCUCACUCUUCCAGCCAUGUAUCCAUGCCUCAGUUUGCUCUGUUUGUCUUUCCACAGACUUAGUUGUUAUCACGUCUCUUACUCCCAUUAGAUUGCAAGCAUGUUGGAAGCAAGGGCUUUAUUUUUGUCAUGUUUCCUAGAAUGCGUGCCUAAGACAAUUGCUAGCACAGAGCAGGUGCGCAAUAAGUUGCUGCUGAAAUAAAAGUUUAGAGCCAAGAAUGUGACAAACAGCUUUACAGAAAGCACUGGGACACAAAGAGAGUACUAUUAUAGCCAUGCUGUCAAGAAAUUUAUAAAUCAAUAGUGGUAGCUAUCGUUGACAGAGUCCUGGCUGUGGCACAGGCACCAUCCCUGCAGUAUGGCUAGGCUCGUGUGCUAUUUAACACUUAACAGCAGCCCAGGGAGACAGUGUUGUGACCCCUCAGUUUACAGAAUGAAGUUAAGUCACUUGUCCCAGUUCACACAGUGAGCAACAGGAUUUAGAUUUAGAUCCUUCCAGCUUCCAAGCCUUUGCUUUUUUUACUAUUCAUUGUAGCAAUUGGGGAUCUAUUCUGAAGAAUACAUAGGUCUUUCAGAAUAAGGGGAAAGUUUUUCUUUUUUUUUCUUUUCUUUUCUUUUUUCUUUCUCUCUUUCUCUCUCUUUCUU